UUUAUGGAAAAUUUAGUAGGCAUAAAAAUUUGUUUAAUUUAAAAACUAGUUUUAAUUUUUUGCUUUAAAUACAUUUCUGCAUCUGAAUUCGUGUUGUUCUUCGAAUGCAGAAACAAACAUUAAAAAAUCAGAGAUGUUAAAAUUUACAAAUAACAUUUUAAUCGAUCCAGUCAAUGCGUUGGAGCAUAUAUCUUUCGUAAGAAAACGUCCCACUUUAUCCGAAAACAUCCAACACGAACCUUUUACCAUCACUACCGUUGCUGUGAUGUUUUUUACUUUUUUGAAUAAAUUCUUUCUGAUAUAUUCACACCUCUCGUCUUGCAUUCACGCUUUCUCUUUCGUUCUUUUCUUUCGUGACCUUGUCGCAACACUAGAAAUUACAAAAAAGCAUUACGUAAAGAUGGACCACGUUCAUAGUUCCUAAUAGUCGAGCAAUAAAAGCUAAAGACUCGUGUCUCCUAUUCGCAUAAAGACAUCGUCGAAGAACAGAAAGGCAUAAAGUGACGUAACUAUACAUGCAAUAUACAUGAAUGUAUAAAUGCUACAUCACAUGAGUACAUGUACAGUAUUUUUGUAUACUCAUCCUCUGCAUUUUGUAUUUUGUAUUCUGCUUUCAUCAGCAUGGCUUUAUCGGCCGAACUGAUUUGAUAAUAAUCGCGAUUAGAAAUAAACGAUGACCGACGUGUAUAUAUAGGUGCGUCACAGUCGUCCAGACUGCGUCCAAUUAUAAUAGAAUUGACCUGCUGACAUACAUCAACAUACAGGUUCAAGAGACAAGUUCGACAAUGAUUCCCCUCGUUGACCCACAUCGCCAAUUGUGCAAGCUAUACCUGAAAACGUAGAAGUCAAUGAUACACGACAGCAAUGUAUCAUUAUAUUAAAUGAGAAGACAACUAACACGUGAAAUGAUCGGAAACGCUAAAACCGCGUGAAUUUGCCAGACACGAGAGCGAAGCAAAUAGAUUUGAUGACUUGAUAAUAGUGAUUCGUAAUGAGCCGGUGCGAUGAUGACCAAGUCCAGUCGUCCAGACCACGUGAAUUAGGUGUAAAGCGAUCCUGCACAGGUUCAAGAGACAAGUUCGCCAAUGAAUCUCGUUGACCCACAUCGUGGGUUACGCGCGUAAUCCCUUCCGGUGUACGCACUCUCGUUUUCGCGAUCGGCCUGAAUUAAAACGACCCAAACCAAACCGAGGUCGCAGACUAGUUCGAUUCUCAGAAUUGAAUGUAUCCGCUGAAAGAGGCGAGAACUUGCACUACCCCUCCAUCCUUUGCUCUUCGAUUUUGUUUUGUAGAUUUUUAUCACGGUUUUGAUCAUUUUGGCGAUUACGUUCUCGCUUUCGCAUUCGAGUAAACAUAAAAUGGUAACGUGAUAAUGAUCCACGCAUGCUCGCUAAUUUUUUCCUUAUGAGAAAAUUAACAUUAUUCGAUGACACGCCGAGAAGUUUUGGACCGUAUGUGGAGACGCUAUGGUGUGACGUAUCGUUAAUCACUAAACAAAUUCGUAGCUUCAAUUUGUGUUAAUUAUACACAAGGAGACGAAUGCUUUUAAUAUUGAUUAACUGUAUCGUACACUGGUAGCUCUGUUCAUUUGCUUCUAUUCCUGUCAGAAUGCGUUAAAUCAAUAGCGGCCUUGACGGAAUCAGAGAACGAUAUUUAAAAUUGCGGUCAAGCAUUUAUCCUGACCAGUACUUGAUGUUUAACUUGAAUAUGUGAUUUUUCUUCCUUUUUCUCUUGGGAGCAGAAACUCUAAAAAAAAAACA
rnacentral:lncRNA from 1 species